rnacentral:tRNA from 1 species
GGAGGGGUAUAGCUCAGUGGUAGAGUGCAUGCUUAGCAUGCACGAGGUCCUGGGUUCAAUCCCCAGUACCUCCA